CCUACGGGAGGCAGCAGUGAGGAAUAUUGGCCAAUGGGCGGAAGCCUUAACCAGCCAAGUAGCGUGCGGGAUGAAGGCCCUACGGGUCGUAAACCGCUUUUGCACGGGGAUAACACCCUUCACUUGUGGAGGUCUGCAGGUACCGUGCGAAUAAGGGCCGGCUAAUUCCGUGCCAGCAGCCGCGGUAAUACGGAAGGCCCGAGCGUUAUCCGGAUUCAUUGGGCUUAAAGGGAGCGUAGGCGGGCGUUCAAGUCAGCUGUAAAAUCGCGCGGCUCACCCGCGCCCCGCAGUUGAAACUGGACGUCUUGAGUUCACAACAGGCAGGCGGAAUUCGUGGUGUAGCGGUGAAAUGCAUAGAUAUCACGAGGAACCCCGAUUGCGAAGGCAGCCUGCCGGGGUGCGACUGACGCUGAGGCUCGAAGGUGCGGGUAUCAAACAGGAUUAGAUACCCCAGUAGUC
rnacentral:rRNA from 1 species